UCUGUGGUGGCUCAGUGGUAAAGAAUCCGUCUGCAAUGCAGGAGACCCAGGUUCAAUCCCUGGCUGAGGAA
rnacentral:tRNA from 1 species